AUUGAACGCUGGCGGCAGGCUUAGCACAUGCAAGUCGAGCGGUAACAGAGAGAAGCUUGCUUCUCUGCUGACGAGCGGCGGACGGGUGAGUAAUGCCUAGGAAUCUGCCUAGUAGUGGGGGAUAACUUGCCGAAAGGUAAGCUAAUACCGCAUACGUCCUACGGGAGAAAGGAGGGGACCUUCGGGCCUUUCGCUAUUAGAUGAGCCUAGGUCGGAUUAGUUAGUUGGUGAGGUAAUGGCUCACCAAGACCGCGAUCCGUAACUGGUCUGAGAGGAUGAUAAGUCACACUGGAACUGAGACACGGUCCAGACUCCUACGGGAGGCAGCAGUGGGGAAUAUUGGACAAUGGGGGGAACCCUGAUCCAGCCAUGCCGCGUGUGUGAAGAAGGUCUUGGGAUUGUAAAGCACUUUAAGUUGGGAGGAAGAGCAGUUAACUAAUAUUUGACUGUUUUGACGUUACCGACAGAAUAAGCACCGGCUAACUUCGUGCCAGCCGCCGCUGUAA
rnacentral:rRNA from 1 species